GACGAACGCUGGCGGCGUGCUUAACACAUGCAAGUCGAACGGAAAGGCCCUGCUUUUGUGGGGUGCUCGAGUGGCGAACGGGUGAGUAACACGUGAGUAACCUGCCCUUGACUUUGGGAUAACUUCAGGAAACUGGGGCUAAUACCGGAUAGGAGCUCCUGCUGCAUGGUGGGGGUUGGAAAGUUUCGGCGGUUGGGGAUGGACUCGCGGCUUAUCAGCUUGUUGGUGGGGUAGUGGCUUACCAAGGCUUUGACGGGUAGCCGGCCUGGGAGGGUGACCGGCCACAUUGGGACUGAGAUACGGCGCAGACUCCUACGGGAGGCAGCAGUGGGGAAUAUUGCACAAUGGGCGGAAGCCUGAUGCAGCAACGCCGCGUGCGGGAUGACGGCCUUCGGGUUGUAAACCGCUUUCGCCUGUGACGAAGCGUGAGUGACGGUAAUGGGUAAAGAAGCACCGGCUAACUACGUG
rnacentral:rRNA from 1 species